AAAGGAUCACAGUGGGUCUGAUGCUGUGAUGAAAUUAAGAGAAAAUAUUAAAAUAUUAAAAUAUUAAAAAUUAUUAAAAGAGGGAAAAAAAAAUCACCAAGAUUCAGUCCAAGGCGUUGAAUUUUUUCUCCCAUCAAAGGCUCUGCAACACAGACAUCCUCACUCCAGAUUCAAUACUAAGUCGUUGAAUUUCUACCCAAAAAAAGGCCUUUCACACCACCCCCGUCGAACUCGACUGAAUCACCCCACUCUGUCUCCUCUCCGAUGGUUCUUGCAUCGCAGUGUCGGCAGAGAGGAGAUGCAUCAGAUUCCAACUUGGGGACAAAGAUGAGGAUUGGAUUUGAGAGAGAGAGAAAGAGAGAUAUAUUGCAAAGAUGAAGCAGCUCCCAGUGCACGCGAUGUCCGAUGACAGUUGCAUCUCAGCGUCGGCAGAAGUGAGACGCCCAGAUUCUGAUUUGGGGACAUAGAUGAGGAUUGGAUUUCCAAGAGAGAGAGAUCGAUCGCAGAGAUAAGCAGGUCCAAUGCACGCCAGGGCUUCCGCACGUUGAAGCUUUUCACUUGUUUUCUCAGUCACGUGUAUGUCACGUGAUAUUUAAUAACAAAGGGCUCAACAAGUCUUCAGGUCAUUCAAUCUCAGCCCUUUAUUUUUAAGAUGCAAUACUGACCCUUGGAUAACUGGCUGUACCGAUACAGCUGAGGCACCACAGAAUUUUCCUAGGUUUGUAUAGCACGACUCGCUUUUUCUAUUUCUUUUUUCUUUUUAUUCUUUUUUAAAUCAGGGGUGUUUUACUAUUUCACCCUCUUUUAAUUAAAAUUGUGUGCUCUUAUUUUUUUGUUUAACAAAGGGCAUAUUCGGAAUUUUUGAAUGUUUCACCAUUCUC
rnacentral:lncRNA from 1 species